rnacentral:rRNA from 1 species
CCCAGGUCAGGCGGGGC